ensembl:lncRNA
UUCUGCUUAACAUAGUGCUGUGGGUGUUAUGGUUAUGGCGGCAGCAAGUGGUAGAGUUGCCUAUUGCUGCUUUAUUCACAAAAAAAAUACUUUCUGUGUGUGUGUGUGUGUGUGUGUGUGUGUGUGUGCGUGGGUUUGUGUGUGUCUAUGCCUCUGUGUGUGUGUGUGGGUUUGUGUGUCUAUGCCUCUGUGUGUGUGUGUGUGUCUAUGCCUCUGUGUGUGUGGGUUGGUGUGUGUUUAUGCCUGUGUGUGUGUGUGUGUGUGUGUUUGGUGCAUUGGGAUAUUCUGAGGUGCCGGGGGGGCCGAAGACCCUCAAAAACAAGCCUGGCGCUCUGGCCGGGGUCUGUGAGGCUGACGGACAGGCGGGCCGUCCACUGUUUGUGUGUGUCCCUGGGAAAUUGGGAGGGUCACGUUGGUGAAGGCCCCGGGGCCAUCCAUCAGUGUCAGGGGUGGAGGGUUAGGGGCUGGAGAGAGUUGGUGGUGGGGGGUGUGGAG